GACGAACGCUGGCGGCGUGCCUAAUACAUGCAAGUUGAGCGAUGAAGAUUGGUGCUUGCACCAAUUUGAAGAGCAGCGAACGGGUGAGUAACGCGUGGGGAAUCUGCCUUUGAGCGGGGGACAACAUUUGGAAACGAAUGCUAAUACCGCAUAACAACUUUAAACAUAAGUUUUAAGUUUGAAAGAUGCAAUUGCAUCACUCAAAGAUGAUCCCGCGUUGUAUUAGCUAGUUGGUGAGGUAAAGGCUCACCAAGGCGAUGAUACAUAGCCGACCUGAGAGGGUGAUCGGCCACAGUGGGACUGAGACACGGCCCAAACUCCUACGGGAGGCAGCAGUAGGGAAUCUUCGGCAAUGGACGAAAGUCUGACCGAGCAACGCCGCGUGAGUGAAGAAGGGUUUCGGAUCGUAAAACUCUGUUGGUAGAGAAGAACGUUGGUGAGAGUGGAAAGCUCACCAAGUGACGGUAACUACCCAGAAAGGGACGGCUAACUACGUG
rnacentral:rRNA from 1 species